rnacentral:lncRNA from 1 species
AUUCCGAGAUUGUGUGCUGAGGGUUUUCAACUGCAUCUCUAAAGGGAAGGCCAAAGAAAGAGCAACAGGAAAGGAUGGUAAAAAGGGGGUAGAAAGGAAGAAGGAAGGGAAGAAAAAAGGGAAAACAGCAAGCUCUCUUUCCAGAGCCACACAUUUUUUUCUGUUUGCUCAGUGGCAGUCUGUUAAAGAAAUACUUCAUUGUCACUGAACACAGAGUCAUUAAAGGCACCUUGGAAAUUUGGACCCUUUUACUAGAAUCAGGGCUUAAAUAGCAACUUAAUUUAUGACACUUCUCGAGGCUGAUGGCGUUUUUGCUCUAAGGAAUUCACAGGGCAAAAGGUACAGAAGGAAACUGUGCUCCAGGGUGAGACAUGUCAUCAGAAGGCUGUCAUCUGGACCUUGGAGGAAGGACAGGCAUGGAAACCUUGUUCCACACAUUGCCUGGUGCCCUGUCCAGCGCUGCAAGGUGCACUGCGUCUCCUCUGCCCAGCAAGCCACAAGCCCCUCCAGGGUGAGAGGAGAGCCUUCCCUUCCCUUGGUCCUCCCUUCGACACAGGGAGCUGGAGCUGGACAGCCCCAUAGGCACUCAGGGCUUGAAGAAGAUAUCUAGAAAUGUCAAAGCAGAAGAGCCUCGGAGAUAAUCUGAACUAUUUCUGAGUUUAUAUAAGGGAAAACUGAGACUGGAGAGAACUAACAUGUCUAAUAUUACAAUGGAAACUUGUAAUAAAACCACAAAUUGAGUCAA